CGGAGGGCGCGAGCGUUACCCGGAUUUACUGGGCGUAAAGGGCGUGUAGGCGGCUUGGGGCGUCCCAUGUGAAAGACCACGGCUCAACCGUGGGGAGCGUGGGAUACGCUCAGGCUAGACGGCGGGAGGGGUGGUGGAAUUCCCGGAGUAGCGGUGAAAUGCGCAGAUACCGGGAGGAACGCCGAUGGCGAAGGCAGCCACCUGGCUCGUUCGUGACGCUGAGGCGCGAAAGCGUGGGGAGCAAACCGGAUU
rnacentral:rRNA from 1 species